CAGUCGACGAAACUUCUUUAUCACCGAGUGCUUGCACUCACCGAUAAAGAGUUGAGUGGCGAACGGGUGAGUAACACGUGGGCAACCUGCCCAAAAGAGGGGGAUAACACUUGGAAACAGGUGCUAAUACCGCAUAACCAUAGUUACCGCAUGGUAACUAUGUAAAAGGUGGCUAUGCUACCGCUUUUGGAUGGGCCCGCGACGCAUUAGCUAGUUGGUGGGGUAAAGGCUUACCAAGGCAAUGAUGCGUAGCCGAACUGAGAGGUUGAUCGGCCACAUUGGGACUGAGACACGGCCCAAACUCCUACGGGAGGCAGCAGUAGGGAAUCUUCCACAAUGGGCGAAAGCCUGAUGGAGCAACGCCGCGUGGGUGAAGAAGGUCUUCGGAUCGUAAAACCCUGUUGUUAGAGAAGAAAGUGCGUGAGAGUAACUGUUCACGUUUCGACGGUAUCUAACCAGAAAGCCACGGCUAACUACGUGCCAGCAGCCGCGGUAAUACGUAGGUGGCAAGCGUUAUCCGGAUUUAUUGGGCGUAAAGAGAACGCAGGCGGUCUUUUAAGUCUGAUGUGAAAGCCUUCGGCUUAACCGGAGUAGUGCAUUGGAAACUGGGAGACUUGAGUGCAGAAGAGGAGAGUGGAACUCCAUGUGUAGCGGUGAAAUGCGUAGAUAUAUGGAAGAACACCAGUGGCGAAAGCGGCUCUCUGGUCUGUAACUGACGCU
rnacentral:rRNA from 1 species